UUUUCUCUCAUUAUUCUAUACCCAACAUUAUUUUCUAUGACAUUAUUUGAUGAGUUUGUGUUCUUUGGUAUUUCUUUUGUUAGUUCCCUUCUAUUUUGUAUGUGCUUUUUGACAUUGUAUAGUCAGUUUGUCUUCCAAUUAUGAGUUUAAUUGUCACUUUAGUAUUCUUUGCACACAAAGAUAAUGAGUAUUGUCUAUUUGUUAAGGACCUUAUGGUGACUAUAGUUGCUAACAUCUACUUCAUGGUCAGUAAUGGUCUCUGUAGGAAAGUUGUCUCACUGUCAAUAGUUAAAAAAGGUACAACUUCUUAUUUUAUACGCUAGACGUAUGUUUCCUCAACAUAAGUAGACAUAAGAAAAUGUGGAAUGAGUGCCAUAAACAGAUCUCCAUACAUAAGACUCAUUUGUGACGCUCAGAUCGAAAUAGUUAGAAAGCAAAACAAUUAUAAACUUGAAGAGCAUCGAGGAAGUACAUCACAACUCCUUUUUAGCUCACCUGACCUGAAAGGUCAAGUGAGCUUUUCUCAUCACUUGGCGUCCGUCGUCCGUAAACUUUUACAAAAAUCUUCUCCUCUGAAACUACUGGGCCAAAUUCUACCAAACUUGGCCACAAUCAUCUUGGGGUAUCUAGUUUAAAAAAUGUGUGGCUUGACCCGUCAAACCAACCAAGAUGGCCGCCAUGGCUAAAAAUAGAACAUAGGGGUAAAUUGCAGUUUUUGGCUUAUAACUCAAAAACCAAAGCAUUUAGAGCAAAUCUGACAUGGGUAAAAUGGUUGAUCAGGUCAAGAUCCAUCUGCUUAGAAAUUUUCAGACGAAUAGGACAACCUGUUGUUGGGUUGCUGCCUGUGAAAUGGUUAUUUUAAGGAAAUUUUGCAGUUUUUGGUUAUUAUCUGGAAUACUAUUAUAGAUAGAGAUAAACUGUAAACAGCAAUAAUGUUCAGCAAAGUAAGACCUACAAAUAAGUCAACAUGACCAAAAUUGUCAGUUGACCCCUUAAGGAGUUAUUGCCCUUUAUAGUCAAUUUUUAACAACUUUUCUGUAUUUUUUGUAACUUUUCUAAAAAUCUUCUUCUCCAAAACUACUUUGCCAAAUUUAACCAAACUUAGCCACAAUUAUCAUUGUGGUUUAUAGUUUAGAAAAUGUGUCCGAUGACCCAGCCUACCAAACAAAAUGGCCGACAUGGCUAAAAUUAGAACAUAGUGGUAAAAUGCAGUUUUUGCUUAAUAUUUUUGAAACUAAGACAUUUAGGGCAAAUCUUUCAAGAUUUAAAUGUCCAUCAGAAUAAGAUAUAUCCCCUCACAAAUUUUGAGUUGAAUCCGACAACCUGUUGUUGGGUUGCUGCCCUAAAAUUGGUGAUUUUAAGGAAAUUUGCAGUUUUUUGGUUAUUAUCUUGAAUACUAUUAUAGAUAGAGAUAAACUGUAAACAGCAAUAAUGUUCAGCAAAGUAAGAUCUACAAAUAAGUCAGCAAGAUCAAAAUUGUUAGAGGACCCCUUAAGGAGAUAUUGCCCUUUAUAGUCAAUAUUGAACAACUUUUCGUCAUUUUGGUAACUUGUAUAAAAAUCUUUUCUAAAAUGACUUGGCCAAAUUUAACCAAACUUGGCCACAAUCAUAAUACUAGGGUAUCUAUUUUUUUUAAAAAGUGUCUAAUGACCCCGCCUACCAACGAAGAUGGCCGACAUCAGUAAACACAUUAACAGGUGAGCGACACAGGCUCUUGAGAGCCUCUAGUUUUUUUAUUUUCUGGUAAAGAUAUGACUUGUAACAAUUAUUACAUUUUGUUUGAAGGUUAAAAGAUGUAUGAGAUGUAAUAUAUAAUGUUAUCUAGUUAAAAUUUUAUUAUUGUACAUAGGUUCAAAAUUCAUGAUUCUUUUUCUUUGGAAGAAAUAAUUUAUUUAUCACUUUUGUGUAUUGAAAACAUUGAAUUUUACAUGUUUAGUUCAUGUUUUAAUUGAGUUUGGGCAAGUAUUUUCAAACAGUUUGCGGAAGAAAUUUGUCUUCUUUUGAAUUAUGAAAAUACAGUUUACUUGUUGCCUUAAGUUAAUUAUCUAUUCCAUUUUCUCAUCAUUCAUGUUUUGUAUUUGUCACGUCACAAGUAGAUUACCUAGAUCAGAAUAUCUGCAUAUCUGCAUAUCAAAUAUUACCAAUAAGACAUUUUACACAAUGCCAAUGACUGUGAAUACUUGUACACAAGAAAAAGGUCAUUCUGGAUUUUGCAUACAAGACUAGGAUACUUCUAAACAUGUCAUCACUGACAGGAACUAAAAUCAAGAAAUUACUGAUUCAAUUUAAAAUUGAAUACAUAUUUUGUUUGUUUUACACUUAAAUUAAAAGAGUUUCAAGGUUUGCUUAUUUUAGACAGCAACCCUAGAUACUUUUUAUAUUAGGAAUCUAAAGAAAGUAAAUUUUUAUCUUCUUAUACCAUAUGAUUAAAUAAUUACAUUGGAUGUAUGUUUCAUUAUAAUACGUUAUUCUGAUUGGCUAACUAGCAAUCUCGUGAUAUUCCUUAAUCAAUUGCAUUACACAAUGCAACUUUUCAUUCAUGAUGACACGAGGUCCCACAAUAAAGUGCACAGGUAAAUGAAAUAAAAACUUGAUAAAAGUCGUGUUUUCAUGAUCAUAUAGGUAAAAAUGUAAUUAUAAGUAUUGAAUGCUUUUUUUUGUAACUUUAUAGGGUUGUAAAAGUGUUGACCGUGCGCACAUUUUUAGUAUGAAGUGCUUCCGCGCUUCAUACAAAAUGUACUUGGGUCAACGCUUUUACACCCAAUAAAAUUUACAAAAAAGAGCAUUCCAUUCUUAAAUAACAUAAAUCCCAUCAGAGACAAAUCUUAUAGCAUUGCAAGAUGUUUUAACAUAUAUAUAAGAUCUCACAUGAAAUAGGACUGUCCAAUAGAGGUUAACUUUCAUCAGGGUUGUCCUUGUUGAGGUUUAAUAUCAUGGGAAGGAAACAAAGUCCUCGAAGAAAAUAGAUACAAUCAAAAUAGUAGCAAAAAAGACAUUUUCCAAUAGUAUGACUUAAUACAGGCACACAUUGUAUUGGGCUUUAACCAAUGUGUUUGUUUAUGAAACUGGUAAUUUCAAACCAUGUCAAUACCAACUGAAAUGUUUUUAGAGGAACCUGACUAGGAAGGCGUAAGGAAAUACAGAGGUUGUGGAAAGCUGACUGUGAUACAUUUUUGUAGAUCAUGUUUUACUUAUGUUAAAUUUGUUGCCCCAUUUCUUUAUGUUGUAAUUUUAAAGAAUUGUAAACUUUAAAACAAGUUGCUUACUUUUGUUUGUUUCAUGUUUGAAAUAAAUUAUGUGAUACAAUGUUUAUAAAAUAAAUGUGCUGAAUUU
rnacentral:lncRNA from 1 species